AGAGUUUGAUCCUGGCUCAGGACGAACGCUGGCGGCGUGCUUAACACAUGCAAGUCGAACGGUGAACCCGGGUUCGGCCCGGGGAUCAGUGGCGAACGGGUGCGUAACACGUGGGCAACCUGCCCCUCACUCUGGGAUAACCCCGGGAAACCGGAGCUAAUACCGGAUACUCCGAACGGUCCCGCAUGGUCCGAUCGGGAAAGGUCCGCCGGUGAGGGAUGGGCCCGCGGCCUAUCAGCUUGUUGGUGAGGUAAGGGCUCACCAAGGCGACGACGGGUAGCUGGUCUGAGAGGACGACCAGCCACACUGGGACUGAGAUACGGCCCAGACUCCUACGGGAGGCAGCAGUGGGGAAUCUUGCGCAAUGGGCGAAAGCCUGACGCAGCGACGCCGCGUGGGGGAUGAAGGCCCUCGGGUUGUAAACCCCUUUCGGCAGGGACGAAGCGGUUCCGUGACGGUACCUGCAGAAGAAGCCUCGGCUAACUACGUGCCAGCAGCCGCGGUAAGACGUAGGAGGCGAGCGUUGUCCGGAUUCAUUGGGCGUAAAGAGCACGCAGGCGGUUUGGUAAGUCGGAUGUGAAAACCCGGAGCUCAACUCCGGGCCUGCAUCCGAAACUGCCCGACUAGAGGUAGGUAGGGGAGAUCGGAAUUCCUGGUGUAGCGGUGAAAUGCGCAGAUAUCAGGAGGAACACCGGUGGCGAAGGCGGAUCUCUGGGCCUUACCUGACGCUCAGGUGCGAAAGCUAGGGGAGCGAACAGGAUUAGAUACCCUGGUAGUCCACGCUGUAAACGAUGGAUGCUAGCCGUUGGCGAGCUUGCUCGUCAGUGGCGCAGCUAACGCUUUAAGCAUCCCGCCUGGGGAGUACGGUCGCAAGAUUAAAACUCAAAUGAAUUGACGG
rnacentral:rRNA from 1 species